GCCGAUGUGGUGGAAUUGGUAGACACGCUGUCUUGAGGGGGCAGUGGGGUAACCUGUGCCGGUUCGACUCCGGCCAUCGGCACCA
rnacentral:tRNA from 1 species